rfam:Acyrthosiphon pisum strain LSR1 Contig13681, whole genome shotgun sequence.
GUGUCUUACAAUGUCCGGUUAAAGUUAAUCGACACUUUACCGGACAUUGUAAGAACGG